GUAGGUGAACCUGCGGAAGGAUCAUUAACACGUAUCCACGUAUCAAAAACCCCUCUGUGCAAACCCUCUUUGUUGAAAAAGGCUGAUUGGAGUUGUGCUCACUCGAUCUUAAUGAUGGGAGUCCCCCCUGGGGGACUCGGGAUCUAUGAGUGUUUGCAACGUUUGACAACCAGCCGCUAUUUUCCCAUCGUUAGCCCCCCCUUUUAUUUUAACCCCUUUGUACUUUUUAAUGUACUGAACCAAUUCUUCG
rnacentral:misc_RNA from 1 species